rnacentral:rRNA from 1 species
GACGAACGCUGGCGGCGUGCUUAACACAUGCAAGUCGAACGGAAAGGCCCUGCUUGCAGGGUACUCGAGUGGCGAACGGGUGAGUAACACGUGGGUGAUCUGCCCUGCACUUCGGGAUAAGCCUGGGAAACUGGGUCUAAUACCGGAUAGGAGCCAUUUUUAGUGUGAUGGUUGGAAAGUUUUUUCGGUGUAGGAUGAGCUCGCGGCCUAUCAGCUUGUUGGUGGGGUAAUGGCCUACCAAGGCGGCGACGGGUAGCCGGCCUGAGAGGGUGGACGGCCACAUUGGGACUGAGAUACGGCCCAGACUCCUACGGGAGGCAGCAGUGGGGAAUAUUGCACAAUGGGCGCAAGCCUGAUGCAGCGACGCCGCGUGGGGGAUGACGGCCUUCGGGUUGUAAACUCCUUUCGCUAGGGACGAAGCUUUUUGUGACGGUACCUAGAUAAGAUGCACCGGCUAACUACGUG